rnacentral:ncRNA from 1 species
GGAAAAUGAGUGGUGCGCGUACUAUGCAUGAAAACAGACCAUCUAAGCAACCAAGUGGCCAAGUAGUGAAGUAUAAGGAUUCGAUUCGGAGAGAUCGCCUCCAGAAUCACACCCAAGGAAGGCAGUGGGCGCAAAGCUAAUCUAAUCCGGGAGAAAUGACAUAGUGAGUAAGAAUGUAAGAAUAAAAACGCCAUUCUUGCGGAUCGGUCAAUUCGAUGUGUUUAUUAUGAGCCUUUUCCUCAUGUACUAGGCAGGCGGGAGGGGGAAGUGAGUAGGUGUGUUUCCUGUAGUCCGUAGUUAGGUCUUAGUUAUAUUUUUUUUGUCUUUGGUGUCAAUCAUUGCUGUACUAGUUUCCUACUAUAAUUUUAAAUUUUUCUAGUUGUAAUCGAGUUUACUUUUAAUAAAUUGAAAUUCUCAGAACAAGUUUGUUCGAAUCGUUGAUCCUGGAAAAGUAUGAAAGACCGGUUCUAUUGAUUAGUUCAGUAAGUCAAGUAAUGUUAUAGAGGAAGAAUUUGGAGCAUUUCUACGAGAGAUGUGGAAUUAUUGGAGAACUUAUUGUUCUGUAAGAGAAUGUUAUAAAGCGAGAGCAAUUGCCAUCAAUGUCUCCAUUGAUCAAGAACGAAAUUCAGAGGUUUGAAAGCGAUUAUACACCUUCUAGUUCUAAUCUCAAAGUAUAUUAUCUAGCGAUCCGAUGAGGUAUUGUUGCCUUGUCGAGGUGCUUCUUGGAAGCAAAAGUCUUUUGG